GCCGCGAUGGUGAAAUGGUAGACACGAGGGACUUAAAAUCCCUUGACCAUCUAAACGGUCGUGCGGGUUCGAGUCCCGCUCGCGGCA
rnacentral:tRNA from 1 species